rnacentral:rRNA from 1 species
UACAGGAGAGGCUAACGUUAUUCGUCGUUAUUGGGCGUAAAGGGUGUGUAGAUUGUUUUUCUUUAUUUUUAUGAAAAUAAAAAUGUAAUUUUUUUAAUUUAAGCUAAAAAGCAAAACUAGAGUUACUAAUAAAAAUAAUAAAAUUUCUAAUGUAAAGUUAAAAAUUGUCGAUAUUAGAAGGAAGGCCAUAAAUGAAAAUAAUUAUUUGACUGUAACUGACAUUCAUGAUACGUAGGUUAGGGUAGCAAACAAG